rnacentral:tRNA from 1 species
GAGAGGGGCUGGUAGCAACGGGGACUGCUAAUCUCCGUCUCCUUGGUUGAACUCCGAGGCCCACUCGAACCG